rnacentral:rRNA from 1 species
UACGUAGGGGGCAAGCGUUUGUCCGGAUUUAUUGGGCGUAAAGAGCGUGUAGGCGGCCUGACAGGUCUGCUGUGAAAACUCGAGGCUCAACCUCGAGAUGUCGGCGGAAACCGUCUGGCUAGAGUCCGGAAGAGGAGAGUGGAAUUCCUGGUGUAGCGGUGAAAUGCGCAGAUAUCAGGAAGAACACCUAUGGCGAAGGCAGCUCUCUGGGACGGUACUGGACGCUGAGACGCGAAAGCGUGGGGAGGCGAACGGAU